rnacentral:lncRNA from 1 species
GAAUGUUAAGUGUUCAAGCAAGUUAUGAACAUAACGAAGUUCCUGUUUUUAAUACCUAUGAGGAAUACCAUAAGAUGGCUCUUCAGAUGGAAACCUAAGUCACAUGAAGACGUCUUUUAUCCUUUCAAGCGCUUUUACUAAAAAAAGGUAGGUAUCAUAUACUGAAGUUUGUGUUGUGAAGAGGUUCCAAGAUAUAACAUUUGAAAUCUGUCAAUAGUUUAUGAAACCAAAUGCAUAUUUAAACUAUUCUAGAAGCUGACUAUAAACUGCAGGGAUAGUUGUAGGCACAUGUGCAGGGUAUAUGCUGUGAAACUGGUAAAUCGCUCCUCUACUAUGUUUUAGCUUCUAUCAGGUGUUAGUAAGUUUCCCUGGAAAACUUUUUCUUAGAGAACUUUUUCAUGCCAUAAGUAUGA